rnacentral:rRNA from 1 species
AGAGUUUGAUCCUGGCUCAGAAUGAACGCUGGCGGCGUGCCUAACACAUGCAAGUCGGAUGUGCCGCAAGGUGCAUGGCAGACGGGUGAGUAACGCGUGGGGAAUCUACCUCUUUGUGGGGAAUAACGCUCCGAAAGGAGUGGUAAUACCGCAUGAGACCUUCGGCUGGGAUGCUGGAGGUGAAACCUGGGGACCGCAAGGCCUGGGGCAAGGAGAGGAUCCUGCGUCUGAUUAGCUAGUUGGCGGGGUAAUGGCCCACCGAGGCGACGAUCAGUAGCCGGCCUGAGAGGAUGAUCAGCCACACUGGGACUGAGACACGGCCCAGACUCCUACGGGAGGCAGCAGUGGGGAAUUUUGGACAAUGGGCGAAAGCCUGAUCCAGCCAUGCCGCGUGCAGGAUGAAGGCCUUCGGGUUGUAAACUGCUUUUGUACGGAACGAAAAGC